rnacentral:rRNA from 1 species
AACGAACGCUGGCGGCAUGCCUAACACAUGCAAGUCGAACGAGACCUUCGGGUCUAGUGGCGCACGGGUGCGUAACGCGUGGUAACCUGCCCUUAGGUUCGGAAUAACUCCCCGAAAGGGGUGCUAAUACCGGAUAAUGUCUUCGGACCAAAGAUUUAUCGCCUUUGGAUGGGCCCGCGUUGGAUUAGCUAGUUGGUAGGGUAAAAGCCUACCAAGGCGACGAUCCAUAGCUGGUCUGAGAGGAUGAUCAGCCACACUGGGACUGAGACACGGCCCAGACUCCUACGGGAGGCAGCAGUGGGGAAUAUUGGAAAAUGGGCGAAAGCCUGAUCCAGCAAUGCCGCGUGAGUGAUGAAGGCCUUAGGGUUGUAAAGCUCUUUUACCCGGGAUGAUAAUGACAGUACCGGGAGAAUAAGCUCCGGCUAACUACGUG